GUGCUCAUUUUGGUAGCACACAUACUAAAAUUAGAAUGAUACAGAGAAGAUUAGCAGAGCCCCUGAAGGAGGAUGAUAAAUAAAUUCAUAAAGCAUUCCAUAUUUUU
rnacentral:snRNA from 1 species